rnacentral:rRNA from 1 species
AUAUAAUUAAGCGGAGGAAAAGAAACUAACUAGGAUUCCUUUAGUAACGGCGAGUGAACAAGGAAUAGCCCAUCACCGAAUCCUUCUUGGCCUUCAGGUAAGGAGUUGUGGUGUAAAGGACAGUCUUCGGUAUAGUAUUAUCGGCCCGAGUUCUCUUGAAUGGGGCUUUACCAGAGCGGGUGUCAGUCCUCUAGUGGCCGACUAAUACUGUAUCAUUGUCUGUCCCGAGAGUCGGGUUGCUUGAGAUCGCAGUCCUAAGACGGGUGGUAAACUCCAUCCAAGGCUAAAUACCGUCGCGAGACCGAUAGCGCACAAGUA